rnacentral:rRNA from 1 species
CCCUUAGAUGUUCUGGGCCGCACGCGCGCUACACUGACGAUGGCAACGAGUUUUUCCUUCGCCGAAAGGUGUGGGUAAUCUUUUGAAACAUCGUCGUGCUGGGGAUAGAUCAUUGCAAUUUUUGAUCUUGAACGAGGAAUUCCUAGUAAGCGCGAGUCAUCAGCUCGCGUUGAUUACGGCCCUGCCCUUUGUACACACCGCCCGUCGCUACUACCGAUUGAAUGGUUUAGUGAGGACUCCUGAUUGGCGCCGCCGCCCCGGCAACGGAGCAGCGGACUGCCGAAAAGUUGUUCAAACUUGAUCAUUUAGAGGAAGUAAAAGUCGUAACA